rnacentral:rRNA from 1 species
GACGAACGCUGGCGGCGUGCUUAACACAUGCAAGUCGAACGGAAAGGCCCUGCUUUUGUGGGGUGCUCGAGUGGCGAACGGGUGAGUAACACGUGGGUAACCUGCCCUUGACUUUGGGAUAACUUCAGGAAACUGGGGCUCAUACCGGAUAGGAGCUCCUGCUGCAUGGUGGGGGUUGGAAAGUUUCGGCGGUUGGGGAUGGACUCGCGGCUUAUCAGCUUGUUGGUGGGGUAGUGGCUUACCAAGGCUUUGACGGGUAGCCGGGCUGAGAGGGUGACCGGCCACAUUGGGACUGGGAUACGGCCCAGACUCCUACGGGAGGCAGCAGUGGGGAAUAGUACACAAUGGGCGGAAGCCUGAUGCAGCAACGCCGCGUGGGGGAUGACGGCCUUCGGGUUGUAAACCGCUUUCGCCUGUGACGAAGCGUGAGUGACGGUAAUGGGUAAAGAAGCACCGGCUAACUACGUG